rnacentral:rRNA from 1 species
GAUGAACGCUGGCGGCGUGCCUAAUACAUGCAAGUCGAGCGAACAGACGAGGAGCUUGCUCCUCUGACGUUAGCGGCGGACGGGUGAGUAACACGUGGAUAACCUACCUAUAAGACUGGGAUAACUCCGGGAAACCGGAGCUAAUACCGGAUAAUAUAUUGAACCGCAUGGUUCAAUAGUGAAAGACGGUUUUGCUGUCACUUAUAGAUGGGUCCGCGCCGCAUUAGCUAGUUGGUAAGGUAACGGCUUACCAAGGCGACGAUGCGUAGCCGACCUGCGAGGGUGAUCGGCCACACUGGAACUGAGACACGGUCCAGACUCCUACGGGAGGCAGCAGUAGGGAAUCUUCCGCAAUGGGCGAAAGCCUGACGGAGCAACGCCGCGUGAGUGAUGAAGGUCUUCGGAUCGUAAAACUCUGUUAUUAGGGAAGAACAAAUGUGUAAGUAACUAUGCACGUCUUGACGGUACCUAAUCAGAAAGCCACGGCUAACUACGUG